rnacentral:rRNA from 1 species
GACAGAGGCCCCGAGCGUUAGGCGGAAUCACUGGGCUUAAAGCGUGUGUAGGCGGACCCCUAAGUGUCUUGUGAAAUCCCACGGCUCACCCGUGGAACCGCUGGGCAUACUGGGGGUCUUGGGCCGUUCAGGGGCGACUGGAACAAGCGGUGGAGCGGUGAAAUGCGUAGAUAUCGCUUGGAACGCCGAAGGUGAAAACAGGUCGCUGGGGACGCGCCGACGCUGAGACACGAAAGCCAGGGGAGCAAACAGG